CCAUUUCUUGAAAUAUCACAGAAACCUUCAGUUCAAAGAAUGGAUUUUCACACUUCCCCUUUUAACUUUUUUUUUUCUUCUAGAUACCCGUGUGCCCUUUAAUUUUAAAAAGAUCUUUACCGGGGGUAGGGAUGGGGGUGAAAAAUACCGCCCUGCGUUUUUGGUGCCCACUUCUUUGUCUGGGGAAUGGCAAGAAGGGGACUGGGAUCCCGUACUCAAGAGCCCCUUUUAAAGACCCAGACCGGGGACGCCUCUGGUUUCAGCAGCUCCCUCCGCUGAGUUAUUGAUUGCAGGCAGCAGCAGUCCCUCAGGUUGAUUUGUGUGGAAAGUGAAUCCUCGCUGGAUAGGCGUUCAGCAGAGGCGCCGCAGCCGCAAAGCCAGCCAAUUAUUGCCGGUCCUCCCCUCCAACCCCGCGCUCACUACCUACACACUCCUUGCUGUGUCAGUCUCCACUUCCCCUCUACCCACGAUCCACCCCCCCUCCCCGCGCGGACGGAGCCGAGGGGGCGGUGGUGGGGGGGCUCCCUCCCCGGGAGCGUUUCUAGAGCUCGGAGGCAGCUCGCAGGGGAGUUUUCUGCAAAGGGUUCAAAAUCCAAAGGAGUAUCCGUGAUGACUGAGAUUCCACAGAUGCCCUGCCGUGUUGGUCUGGAGUGCUUUGGGGAGGAGACUCUGAGAACGUCUCCCGUUUGUUUGCUGACAGAGACGUGUCCUGGGUGCAGAUCAGUGGGCAGCCUGGCUCUCGAGGAGGAAAUUUUACCGUUUUUGAAAAGUUUGACAGUCCACAUGUUUAAGUCUAACAGAAGAAAACAAAAAUCACUGGAUAUGAAGUUAUGA
rnacentral:lncRNA from 1 species